rnacentral:rRNA from 1 species
UACAGAGGGUGCGAGCGUUAAUCGGAAUUACUGGGCGUAAAGCGUGCGUAGACGGUUAUGUAAGUCGGGUGUGAAAGCCCCGGGCUCAACCUGGGAAUUGCGAUGAAGACUGCAAGGCUUGAAUCUGGCAGAGGGGGGGUAGAAUUCCACGUGUAGCAGUGAAAAUGCGUAGAUAUCGGAAGGAACACCGGUGGCGAAAGCGGCGCGCUGGAUCCCUACUGACGCUGAGGCACGAAAGCCAGGGGGAGCAAACGGGGAUAGAAUACCCCC